rnacentral:rRNA from 1 species
AGAGUUUGAUCAUGGCUCAGAUUGAACGCUGGCGGCAGGCUUAACACAUGCAAGUCGAGCGGAAACGAAAGUAGCUUGCUACUAGGCGUCGAGCGGCGGACGGGUGAGUAAUGCUUAGGAAUCUACCGAGUAGUGGGGGAUAGCCAUUGGAAACGAUGAUUAAUACCGCAUAUAUCCUACGGGGGAAAGCAGGGGACCUUCGGGCCUUGCGCUAUUCGAUGAGCCUGAGUGAGAUUAGCUAGUUGGUGGGGUAAAGGCCUACCAAGGCGACGAUCUCUAGCUGGUCUGAGAGGAUGAUCAGCCACACUGGGACUGAGACACGGCCCAGACUCCUACGGGAGGCAGCAGUGGGGAAUAUUGCACAAUGGGCGAAAGCCUGAUGCAGCCAUGCCGCGUGUGUGAAGAAGGCCUUCGGGUUGUAAAGCACUUUCAGCGAGGAGGAAAGGUUAGUAGUUAAUAACUGCUAGCUGUGACGUUACUCGCAGAAGAAGCACCGGCUAAUUUAGUGCCAGCAGCCGCGGUAAUACUAAAGGUGCAAGCGUUAAUCGGAAUUACUGGGCGUAAAGCGCGCGUAGGUGGUUUGUUAAGUUGGAUGUGAAAGCCCAGGGCUCAACCUUGGAACUGCAUUCAAAACUGACUCACUAGAGUACGAGAGAGGUUAGUGGAAUUUCCUGUGUAGCGGUGAAAUGCGUAGAGAUGGGAAGGAACACCAGUGGCGAAGGCGACUGACUGGCUCGAUACUGACACUGAGGUGCGAAAGCGUGGGGAGCAAACGGGAUUAGAUACCCCGGUAGUCCACGCCGUAAACGAUGUCUACUAGAAGCUCGGGACCUCGGUUCUGUUUUUCAAAGCUAACGCAUUAAGUAGACCGCCUGGGGAGUACGGCCGCAAGGUUAAAACUCAAAUGAAUUGACG